rnacentral:rRNA from 1 species
CAAAUCCCUAAAAGCCAUCCCAGUUCGGAUUGCAGGCUGCAACCCGCCUGUAUGAAGUUGGAAUCGCUAGUAAUCGCGGAUCAGCAUGCCGCGGUGAAUACGUUCCCGGGCCUUGUACACACCGCCCGUCACACCAUGAGAGUCGGGAACACCCGAAGUCCGUAGUCUAACCGCAAGGGGACGCGGCCGAAGGUGGGUUCGAUAAUUGGGGUGAAGUCGUAACAAGGUAUC